UACGAACGGGGCUAGCGUUGUUCGGAAUCACUGGGCGUAAAGGGCGCGUAGGCGGCCUUGUAAGUCGGGGGUGAAAGCCUGUGGCUCAACCACAGAAUUGCCUUCGAUACUGCAGGGCUUGAGACCGGAAGAGGUUAGUGGAACUGCGAGUGUAGAGGUGAAAUUCGUAGAUAUUCGCAAGAACACCAGUGGCGAAGGCGGCUGACUGGUCCGGUUCCGACGCUGAGGCGCGAAAGCCAGGGGAGCGAACGGG
rnacentral:rRNA from 1 species